rnacentral:rRNA from 1 species
UGGGGAAUUUUGGACAAUGGGCGCAAGCCUGAUCCAGCCAUUCCGCGUGAGUGAAGAAGGCCUUCGGGUUGUAAAGCUCUUUCGCAAGGGAAGAAAACUUACUUUCUAAUAAAGAGUGAGGUUGACGGUACCUUGAUAAGAAGCACCGGCUAACUACGUGCCAGCAGCCGCGGUAAUACGUAGGGUGCGAGCGUUAAUCGGAAUUACUGGGCGUAAAGCGUGCGCAGGCGGCUUUGUAAGUCAGAUGUGAAAUCCCCGAGCUCAACUUGGGAACUGCGUUUGAAACUACAAGGCUAGAAUAUGUCAGAGGGGGGUAGAAUUCCACGUGUAGCAGUGAAAUGCGUAGAGAUGUGGAGGAAUACCAAUGGCGAAGGCAGCCCCCUGG